GCUUGCACUGGUUGGUACUGCUAUUGACUUGUAAUCAGUAGGUCCCGGGUUCGACUCCUGGUGCCAGCACCA
rnacentral:tRNA from 1 species